rnacentral:misc_RNA from 1 species
GAUGAAGAACGCAGCGAAAUGCGAUAAGUAAUGCGAAUUGCAGAAUUUCCGUGAGUCAUCGAAUCUUUGAACGCACAUUGCGCCCACUGGUAUUCCGGUGGGCAUGCCUGUUCGAGCGUCAUUUCAACCAUCAAGCCCCAGGCUUGCGUUGGAGCCCUGCGGCUGCCGCAGCCUCCUAAAAGCAGUGGCGGGCUCGCUAUCACACCGAGUGCAGUAGAUUACUCUUCGCUCAGGGCGUGCAGCGGGUUCCGGCCGUGAAACCCCCUACUUUUAAAGGUUGACCUCGGAUCAGGUAGGAAUACCCGCUGAACUUAAGCAUAUCAAUAAGCGGAGGA